rnacentral:rRNA from 1 species
GACGUAGGGCGCGAGCGUUGUCCGGAUUUAUUGGGCGUAAAGGGCGCGUAGGCGGCCACGCACGUCCGUUGUGAAAUCGCCCGGCUCAACUGGGCGGGGUCGGCGGAUACGGCGUGGCUGGAGCAAGCUAGGGGGCAAUGGAAUUCCCGGUGUAGUGGUGGAAUGCGUAGAUAUCGGGAGGAACACCAGUGGCGAAGGCGGUUGCCUGGAGCUUUGCUGACGCUGAGGCGCGAAAGCGUGGGGAGCGAGCCGG